rnacentral:tRNA from 1 species
GGAGAGGUGUCCGAGUGGUUGAAGGAGCACGCCUGGAAAGUGUGUAUAGGUUAAUAGCCUAUCGAGGGUUCGAAUCCCUCCCUCUCCGCCA